rnacentral:rRNA from 1 species
UACGUAGGGGGCUAGCGUUGUCCGGAAUCAUUGGGCGUAAAGAGCGCGUAGGCGGCCCGAUAAGUCUGCUGUGAAAGUCCAGGGCUCAACCCUGGAAUGCCGGUGGAUACUGUCGGGCUAGAGUACGGAAGAGGCGAGUGGAAUUCCUGGUGUAGCGGUGGAAUGCGCAGAUAUCAGGAGGAACACCAAUAGCGAAGGCAGCUCGCUGGGACGUUACUGACGCUGAGGCGCGAAAGCGUAGGGAGCAAACAGG